CAUCCACGAGAGCGGUCUCGAGUCGCUGAGACAACUGGAACGGCAGAUGCUGGAGCAUCGGAUAUAACACGGUGUGCAGCCAGAUGAACACAGCAGGUCAAGCAGCAUCAGAGGAGCAGGAAAGCUGACGUUUCCGGCCUAGAUCCUUCGCUGAGACCAAGAUUUAUGCAAUUGAGAUACUAGCGAUCAUUGCCAAAGCCCUGUUGCCUGUGGAGAAGUUUAACCUUCGUGUCCUGCUGCAGUUUGUAUGAUGAAGGUGCUCCCACAAUGCGGCCAUUUGAGAAGUUACAGAUCAUUCAUCUAGCAAUACUGAAGAGCUGAUGGUAUUUCCACAAUUUUACUUCUGCACUGUUCUUAACCUUUCAAUCCCUCUGAAAGACUGAGUUACAGAUUUAUACAAUGCCUGUCCUUCCUCCCUGGCUCUCCCACCUCUCUUUCGGUAAUUUUGUGUAAACACUGACUGACUGAAUACCUUACCUGGAGGAUAUUUAUGAAUGGAUUUGUUCUAAUGAUAAUCCAACAUGUUUUCCAAGUGUCGCUCCACAAAUGUCCAGAGGAUUUCUCAGUUUCACAGUCUGUUUUCUCUUCUGGUUUCUCACUCAUUGCACUUACUUUCUGUGUGAUAGCUUAGUCUGCAGUUAGAGAAUUCAAACUGUUCCACAUCCAGGUCUGACAGUCACUUUGUUUAUCACAACCCAAUUAUCUCAGGAUUUUGAACAUUGAAGGAGAAAGCAGCACUCACACUUUGGAGAAAUACAAAUGGUUUGUGUGUAAAAGAGUCUGUGAAGAUUCAUCUGAAAUGUUCUAACACCAGCGCAGUGACUCUGGGGAGAGACUGUGGAAAUGGGCAGAUUGCAAGAAGGAACUUCUUCAUCCAUCCCACCUAGAAACUGACCACCAGAGUCACACUGGAGAGAAACCAUUCACCUGCUCUGAUUGUGGUAUGGGAUUCACUCAGUCAUCUAACCUGCUUAAACACCAGGGAGCUCUCACUGGAUAGAAACCAUUCACUUGCUUGGAAUGUGGGAAACAAUUCACUCAGACAACUCACCUGCUGAUACACCAGCAAAUUGACACUGGAGAGAGACCAUUGGCCUGUUGUGUGUGGGAAAGUUUUUCUGACUCGAAUUCCCCUCUGACACACCAGCAAAUUCACUCUUGGGAGAGAGCAUUCGUGAGCUGAGUGUGGGAAAGCAUUCACUCAGUCGUCCAAACAGUCACAAAGAACCACGGUUGAAGCAUUUUGCUAUCACUCUCACGAUCAAAUGAACCAUAGUUUUGGGCUGUUUGUACUGCUGUUACUAAUCCCAGCUCAAUUAAAGGUGCUGGUAUUGUGAAUAAAAUGUUAAUAACAGUUGUAUAUCUGUCAGGUGGAGCUUGGAAAUAGUCACGUCACGACACAUUCACACUGACUAAAGACUAUCCACCAGCACAGUAUGUGAAAAGGGAUUUCCUGGUUCAUCAGGACUAGUUAAGUAGCAGCAAAUUUGAGUAACUCUUGGGUUUUUUUUUAUUCUGCUGUUAGCUGUCUCCAAACCAGGUAUUUUUGGGCUUGUUUCUGGAGAUCAUAGAAUCCCUCCAGUGUGGAAGCAGAUGACUUGGCCCAUCAAGUCCACACUGAACCUAUGAAGUGUCUUACCCAGACCCUGUCUGCGUCGGUUUCCUCCCACAGUCCAUAAAUGUGCAAAUUAGGUCGAUUGACUAUGCUAAAUUACCCUUAGUAUCUUGUGUGCAGAAUGCAAGGACAGAGUGGGGUGUGAGACUGGAUGGGAUGCCCUUUGGAGGGUUUGUGUGGACUCAGUGGACUGAAUGGCCAUCUUCCACACUGUAGGAAUUCUAUGAUGAUCUCGAUGGCCCUUUAUUUAUUAGUUAUGUCUGCACACCUUUUACAAUUACGGAUCCUGUUGCUCUCCACAGACACGUUUCAACUUUUAAUAGGUGUUUGUUGAUUUGGAAACAAUCGUAAUGUUUCCUUUUGAGUUUUGCCCACAAAAUGAAAGUUUUAAGUCGAAACAAAAGAUUGGGAGGAGUCCAGUACUAUAUCCCCGAUUGCAUUUUCCCGAUCGGCUAUGAAACCUGGUGUCCGUUGUGACUCUGUUCG